AAGAGAUAGCAGAGGAGAUGUAGAUGGAUUGUCUGGGACUCCAAAGUGGAAUGUUUUCAGAGCUGGGAUUUGCCUUUCUUUGUGCCAUGGGAAGGUGACCCUUAUGGACCAUAUCUCCUGAGCUCCAUUGCUGGUGGACUUAGAUUCAAUCCAUCUUUGAAGAUCAGAAGAUACAGCGAGCUCAGAAACCAUGUGUUAAAGAUUGAGGAGCCACAGAAUGGAAGAAGAGUCACUCAUUAAUCAGGACACCCAUUUUGGUCUUUAUGAGCCUCAUAAAGUGGAUAAGAUUAUUUUUAUUGAGUGCCUUUGAAUCUAAGGCACAAAGGUUGAGUGGAUUUCCUAAAGUCAAGACAUUCGGAGGGAUCUGAGUCAAAAGUAGAAUCCAUACCUGCUGGUUUCCAACCUUAGAUAUGUCACGAGGAUCUUCUGGACCACAUGAUUGCUCUGGGCUUGGUGAGAACAAUCGAAGGAAUGUGAAUAAUAUUAUUGACAGGAAGUGAAAG